GGGGGGGGGCACUGGGAGGGGCUGCCCCAUAGAUCUGCCCCAUAGAUCAGCACGAGAGAUGGCACAGGUAUGGCUCUGCCCCAUAGAUGGCACUGGGGGGGGCUCUGCCCUAUAGAUCGGCCCCAUAGAUCUGCCCCAUAGAUCCGUCCCAUGGAUGGCACAGGUAUGGCUCUGCCCCAUAGAUCUGUCCCAUAGAUGAGUGCAAUAGAUGGUAACUGGGAUGGCUCUGCCCCAUAGAUCUGCCCCAUAGGUUACACUGAGGGAGCUCUGCCCCAUAGGUGGCACUGGGGGGGUUCUGCCCCAUAGAUGGUACAGGUAUGGCUCUGCCCCAUAGAUCUGCCCCAUAGGUGGCACUGGGGGGGCUCUGCCCCACAGAUGGCACAGGUAUGGCUCUGCCCCAUAGAUCUGCCCCAUAGAUUUCACUGGGGGGGCUCUGCCCCAUAGAUCCGCUUCCUAGAUGGUAACUGAGGAGGCUCUGCCCCAUAGAUUUCACUGGGGAGGCUGUACCCCAUAGAUUCGCCCCAUAGAUCUGCCCCAUAGACGGCACUGGGGGGGCUCUGCCCCAUAGAUGGCACAGCCCCCCGCGAUGGCGCCUCUCUUCCUCCUCCUCCUCCUCCUCCUCUCCCCCUCCCCGACUUCCGCCCACCCGGAUUUCGCCUACAGCGCCCCCAACCGCCCGGAGCCCCCCGCGAUGGCGCCUCUCUUCCUCCUCCUCCUCCUCCUCCUCUCCCCCUCCCCGACUUCCGCCCACCCGGAUUUCGCCUACAGCGCCCCCAACCGCCCGGAGGUCCGCACCACCACCGGCUCCGUCGAACCCCAUAGCGCCCCAUAGCGCCCCAUAGCGCCCCAGAACCACCCCAGAACCCCACAGCCACCCCAUAACCACCCCAUAGCCAUCCCACAGCCACCCCAUAACCACCCCAGCAGAACCCCAUAGCCACCCCGUAACCCCAUAGCCACCCUAUAGUGCCCCAUCACCACCCCAUAACCCCAUCACCACCCCAUAACCAACCUAUAACCCCCCCAUAAGCCACCCCAUCACCCCAUAACCCCACUCCAUCACCCCAUCACCACCCCACAACCCCACCCCACAACCCCA
rnacentral:lncRNA from 1 species